ensembl:lncRNA
UAAGAGAACUACCACAUCUUUUAUUCUAAAACACAAUAGAAACAGUGGUAAGUACUGUUUGGUCUUCUUUACAUUUUUCAAGAUUCAUUAAUGUGAUACUCAUUUUUGGUACAAGUAGCUGGACACUGACACUCUGUGGAAACCAUCCACAUCCUUGCUACCCAAAGUAUGUUCGAAGACCAGCAGCAUCUAUAUUAGCUUGAAGCUUGUUAGAGAUGCAAAAUCAGGCCCCACCUCAAAUGCACUGAAUCAGAAUCUGUAUUUUAAUAUGAUCCCCAGGUGAUUCGUGUACACACUAAAGGCCAAGAAGCAUGCAAUUAGAUUUCAUUCCUAUUUCUUACUCUCACCCUGUCUCCUUUACUCUCCAUCCACCCAACACAGGGGUAGGUGUUUUUCACCAAAAACUCCAGAUAGUCAAGAAAAAUAUAGUUGGUGUUACCUGAGUUAUAUGAUUAGCGUCACUUUCAGUAAAUGUGGAAAUCUAUUUUUUUAUCAAUUAUUUUCUUGGGUUAUUAAUAGAUUAAUUCCAUAAUUCAGAAAAAAUUAGAACAAAUUUUCCAGGAAAAAGGGCUUGUUUAGUUUCAGGAGAGAUUAGAGUAUUUUAUUUUGCCCAAUCAGAGCCCUUCAGCAUAAAGAGACAUUCAUAUACAUAUAUAUGAACAUUUUCCAGAAACAUUAAUUUAUAAUACAUUUUUUAAAAUACCAGCUUAACGGUAUUUAUUUACAAAAAUAUUUCAUUACCUAAUUUUAAACUUUUUGCUGUGAUGACAGUUUGUAAAGUACAGGAAUGCAAAAUAACUACAAAGUGUAACACGUUUUUAGUGUUUGCAAUACUGCUUUUCUUUUUAGAUGAAACAAUACACAGAUUUUUUUAAACCGUAUUUCAAAAUGCAUAUUCCAGCAAUUACCUUUGAGAUAGUUACUGGGACUGAGCAAGAUUAAAUAAAAAGUGCAGCAACUGAAAAACACCUGCAAGUUACAGUUUAAGGAAUACACAAGCUAGAGCUCUAUACCAAGCAUGCUUGCCCCUGAAGUGGACAAUGUUAGAAAACCUUAAUCUUGCUCUUUUUCAUAUUGUCUUUUGGUAAUGCAUUUACAAUGAACCAAUAGUAUAACUAGAAAGCAAAAGUGUUUUUCUGGUUCUAACUAUCAUGUGGAACAGAGGUCACACCUAACGUAUCACGGUACUAUUUAUUUACAAAAAAAAAAAAAAGUUAAAAAAAUUAAAACAUGAUUUACCCUCUUUGCAUUGCUUUCCAUUGCUAUGUUGACUCUAUUUUCAACUCCUUACAAUGUCUUCAGUUGAAGCAAAGUUUAGACAACACAAAACAAAUUGCAAAAGUUAAAAAAAAACCUACCAAAUAAACAGGAUUCCAUUGCCAUUAACCUAUAUCCAUUUGAAAUGCCUGAGUCAAACAACCUACAAUAAAUACUGGUUUAUUUACAUGACAUACACUAUAAAAUUUUAAACGAUAAGUCUCAUUGUAAAAUACUGGCAAAACUGACAUUCAUGAUUUUCCUGAUGUAAAGAAUAAAAUAAAGAGACCACUUACAUGUAGCCCUGGACUACUGUACUGAAUUUGUAAAUGAAUUGUGCCUAUAUUGUUAAAAUUAAUUUGUAUUAGUAACUGAAGAAAGCAAUGUUAUAACCCUGGUAAUUGGGAAGUUAUUAAAAUCAUUUAAUUCAUCUGAGAAAGGUAAGCCAGUUUCCCCUUUUUUCUUUUUUUUUUUUUUGGUUAUUUUUGAUUGCAACAACUGUUUUCUGUCUACAGAACCUUUUUUAAAACUUCGGAGGCAGUAGUAAAAUCAUUAAUAUUCACAAGAAAAAUAAUCCCCAUAGCACUUUACAAGAAAUUGAUCAGAGUGAUGAAAAGUGCAAUUAACAAAAGCUGUAAACAGUAUCUUCAC